rnacentral:lncRNA from 1 species
AAGAAGUCAGGCCGGAUUAAGCCAUAGUACGGUAAGAGCUAUGCUGCCUGUGAGCCCCGUCUAAGGACGUAAAAUGAAGUCAGGCCGAAAGCCACGGCUUGAGCAAACCGUGCUGCCUGUAGCUCCAUCGUGGGGAUGUAAAAACCUGGGAGGCUGCAACCCAUGGAAGCUGUACGCAUGGGGUAGCAGACUAGUGGUUAGAGGAGACCCCUCCCGAAACAUAACGCAGCAGCGGGGCCCAACACCAGGGGAAGCUGUACCCUGGUGGUAAGGACUAGAGGUUAGAGGAGACCCCCCGCAUAACAAUAAACAGCAUAUU